AGAGCCAUAGCUUAGUGGUAGAGAAUCUGCUUUGCACGAGGAAGGUCCCUGGUUCAACUCCUGACGUCUCUA